AAAACUUUCAACAACGGAUCUCUUGGUUCCAGCAUCGAUGAAGAACGCAGCGAAAUGCGAUAAGUAAUGUGAAUUGCAGAAUUCAGUGAAUCAUCGAAUCUUUGAACGCACAUUGCGCCCCUUGGUAUUCCGAGGGGCAUACCUGUUCGAGCGUCAUU
rnacentral:rRNA from 2 species